rnacentral:tRNA from 1 species
GAUAAGGUGUCUGAUUAAAGUAAUAAAUUGUAAAUUUAUUUAAGGUUUUAACCUCUUAUCA